AGCUCCAAUAGCGUAUAUUAAAGUUGUUGCAGUUAAAACGCUCGUAGUUGAACAUCUGCUGUAAGUUAUUCUGGUCCUCUUUGUGUACCAGAAUACUGCAAGCAUCCGAUUGCAAAAUCUAGUGCUCCGGCACCAGGUUGGGCAAUCCUUUCACUUUGAGGAAAUUAGAGUGUUCAAAGCAGGCUUUCGCCUUGAAUACUUCAGCAUGGAAUGAUUAUUAGGACUUCUGUCCUUUAUGUCGGUUCUAGGGGACGCGAAGUAAUGAUAUAUAGGGUUGGUCGGGGGCAUUCGUAUUGAACAGUCAGAGGUGAAAUUCUUAGAUUUGUUCAAGACUAACAACUGCGAAAGCAUUUGCCAAGGAUGACCCCA
rnacentral:rRNA from 1 species